rnacentral:rRNA from 1 species
AACGAACGCUGGCGGCAGGUCUUAGGCAUGCAAGUCGAACGGAUGUAGCAAUACAUCAGUGGCGCACGAGUGAGUAACGCGUGGGAAGCUGCCCUUCACUGGGGAAUAACGUUUGGAAACGAACGCUAAUACCGCAUACGCCCGAAAGGGGAAAGAUUUAUCGGUGAAGGAUGCGCCCGCGUUGGAUUAGCUUGUUGGUGGGGUAACGGCCUACCAAGGCGAUGAUCCAUAGCUGGUCUGAGAGGACGAUCAGCCACGCUGGAACUGAGACACGGUUCAGACUCCUACGGGAGGCAGCAGCUAAGAAUAUUGGACAAUGGGGGAAACCCUGAUCCAGCCAUGCCGCGUGAAUGAAGAAGGCCUCGGGUUGUAAAGUUCUUUAGUCGUGAGAUGAUGACAGUAGCGACAGAAAAGACACCGGCUAACUUCGUGCCAGCAGCCGCGGUAAACGUAGCGUG